AUAUGGACUAUGGAGUGGGGGUGAGGCGGAAAGAGAUGGCGCUCCAGAGUGGCACGCUCUUGCCGUUGCUAUUUCCGAAGCACAGUUCAGGCGCCAUGGCACAUGCACAAGAAAUUCGGGUCUGUACCAACCGCACUUGCCGCAAACAGGGAUCUUUUCAGACCCUCGAAACCCUCUCUGCCCUCGCUCCUCCCAACCUCGCCGUCAACUCCUGCGGCUGCUUGGGCCGCUGCGGCGCCGGCCCUAACUUGGCAAUCCUCCCCGACGGCUUCAUCGUCGCCCAUUGCGGCACACCGGCUCAGGCGGCUCAGCUCGUGGCCACCUUGUUUUCCAGAGAUGAUGCCGAUGCCACGAGCAGUUUGGAGGCCCUGGCUUUGAGGAAGAGAGCCGAGAUUGAGUUCCAGAAUCGAAAUUUGAGUGAAGCUGAGUUGCUUCUCUCACAGGCUAUAGAUUCAGAACCCUUUGGUGGCAUGCAUGUCCUCUUUAAAUGCAGGUCAGUUGUAAGGUUGGAAUUGGGCAACUACCGUGGGGCCCUUCAAGAUGCUAGGGAGGCUUUGAACUUAGCUCCUCGCUAUUCUGAGGCUUAUAUUUGCCAAGGUGAUGCCUUCUUGGCAUUGAAUGAAUUCGAAUCAGCAGAACAAUCAUAUUUAGCUUCUUUAGACAUAGAUCCUUUGAUCCGUCGCUCUAAAUCAUUCAAGGCCCGAAUAUUAAAGCUUCAGGAAAAGGUUGCUGCUGUUAAUACGUCAUAAGAUUUGUGUUGUGAAUAAAGAUCCAGUCAAUUCUGAUAUUGUGAUCAUGUACAUUCGAUUAUUUUAUAUACUUUCUCCAGGACCAAGUUUGCGUUUGAGGACAUAAUCACAAAAUGGAAGUAUAUAUAUAGUAAGUUAUAAGAGCACCUCCUGUGGAUAUGCCUGUGAAGGAGUAGGAGCAGCAACAGCAUAUGCCAGCACAAUUCCAAUUUUCCUAUUAAAGGUUCUGUUUUGUUCUUUAAUGGUCCUGAUUCUCUCACCAUCAGUUCCUUUCAAUAACCAAGGAGUGGUCUAUAUCAAGGUUUCUCUCUAUUCUUGUAAAAAAGAUGCAUUUCUUUAGAGGAAUUGGUCAUAAUCUCGUUCCAUUGUAUACAU